rnacentral:rRNA from 1 species
GUGCACGCUGGCGGUAGGCCUAACACAUGCAAGUCGAACGGCAGCACAGUAAGAGCUUGCUCUUACGGGUGGCGAGUGGCGGACGGGUGAGGAAUACAUCGGAAUCUACUUUUUCGUGGGGGAUAACGUAGGGAAACUUACGCUAAUACCGCAUACGACCUACGGGUGAAAGCAGGGGAUCUUCGGACCUUGCGCGAUUGAAUGAGCCGAUGUCGGAUUAGCUAGUUGGCGGGGUAAAGGCCCACCAAGGCGACGAUCCGUAGCUGGUCUGAGAGGAUGAUCAGCCACACUGGAACUGGGACACGGUCCAGACUCCUACGGGAGGCAGCAGUGGGGAAUAUUGGACAAUGGGCGCAAGCCUGAUCCAGCCAUACCGCGUGGGUGAAGAAGGCCUUCGGGUUGUAAAGCCCUUUUGUUGGGAAAGAAAAGCAGCAGGUUAAUACCCCGCUGUUCUGACGGUACCCAAAGAAUAAGCACCGGCUAACUUCGUG